rnacentral:rRNA from 1 species
CGCCGCGGGAACACCGGCAGCUCUAGUGGUAACAAUUUUAUUGGGCCUAAAGCGUCCGUAGCCGGUUUAAUAAGUCUCUGGUGAAAUCCUGCAGCUUAACUGUGGGAAUUGCUGGAGAUACUAUUAGACUUGAGACCGGGAGAGGUUAGAGGUACUCCCAGGGUAGAGGUGAAAUUCUGUAAUCCUGGGAGGACCGCCUGUGGCGAAGGCGUCUAACUGGAACGGUUCUGACGGUGAGGGACGAAAGUUAGGGGCGCGAACCGGAUUAGAUACCCGGGUAGUCCUAACUGUAAACGAUGCGGACUUGGUGUUGGGGUGGCUUUGAGCUGCUUCAGUGCCGAAGGGAAGCUGUUAAGUCCGCCGCCUGGGAAGUACGGUCGCAAGACUGAAACUUAAAGGAAUUGGCGGAGGAGCACCACAACGCGUGGAGCCUGCCGGUUUAAUUGGAUUCAACGCCGGACAUCUCACCAGAGGCGACAGCUGUAUGAUAGCCAGGUUGAUGACUUUGCUUGACUAGCUGAGUAGUGGUGCAUGG